rnacentral:rRNA from 1 species
UACGUAGGGUCCGAGCGUUGUCCGGAGUUACUGGGCGUAAAGCGCGCGCAGGCGGCGCACUAAGUCUGGCGUGAAAGCCCCCGGCUCAACCGGGGAGGGUCGUCGGAGACUGGUGCGCUUGAGGGCGGUAGGGGCUGGUGGAAUUCCCGGUGUAGUGGUGAAAUGCGUAGAGAUCGGGAGGAACACCCGUGGCGAAGGCGGCCAGCUGGGCCGACCCUGACGCUGAGGCGCGAAGGCGUGGGGAGCGAACGGG